rnacentral:rRNA from 1 species
CAAUAGCGUAUAUUAACGUUGUUGCAGUUAAAAAGCUCGUAGUUGGAUUUCUGGAGGGAGCGUCGGCCCGUAUUUACGAGUGCGUGACGUCUCUGUCCAUCCUUGCGGGAAGGCACGGCAUUGAUUUGUUGUGUCGGAUCGCAUCAUUUACUGUGAAAAAAUUAGAGUGUUCAAAGCAGGCUUUCGCUUGAAUACAUUAGCAUGGAAUAAUAAGAUAGGACUUUGGUUAUAUUUUGUUGGUUUGCACAUCAAGGUAAUGAUUAAUAGAAUCAGUCGGGGAUAUUCGUAUGCAAAUGUCAGAGGUGAAAUUCUUGGAUUUUUUACAGACGAACUACUGCGAAAGCAUUUAUCAAGGAUGUUUUCAUUAA